CCGAGGAAAAGAAAUCAACCGAGAUUCCCCCAGUAGCGGCGAGCGAACGGGGAGCAGCCCAGAGCCUGAAUCAGUGUGUGUGUUAGUGGAAGCGUCUGGAAAGGCGCGCGAUACAGGGUGACAGCCCCGUACACAAAAAUGCACAUGCUGUGAGCUCGAUGAGUAGGGCGGGACACGUGGUAUCCUGUCUGAAUAUGGGGGGACCAUCCUCCAAGGCUAAAUACUCCUGACUGACCGAUAGUGAACCAGUACCGUGAGGGAAAGGCGAAAAGAACCCCGGCGAGGGGAGUGAAAAAGAACCUGAAACCGUGUACGUACAAGCAGUGGGAGCACGCUUCGGCGUGUGACUGCGUACCUUUUGUAUAAUGGGUCAGCGACUUAUAUUCUGUAGCAAGGUUAACCGAAUAGGGGAGCCGAAGGGAAACCGAGUCUUAACUGGGCGUUAAGUUGCAGGGUAUAGACCCGAAACCCGGUGAUCUAGCCAUGGGCAGGUUGAAGGUUGGGUAACACUAACUGGAGGACCGAACCGACUAAUGUUGAAAAAUUAGCGGAUGACUUGUGGCUGGGGGUGAAAGGCCAAUCAAACCGGGAGAUAGCUGGUUCUCCCCGAAAGCUAUUUAGGUAGCGCCUCGUGAAUUCAUCUCCGGGGGUAGAGCACUGUUUCGGCAAGGGGGUCAUCCCGACUUACCAACCCGAUGCAAACUGCGAAUACCGGAGAAUGUUAUCACGGGAGACACACGGCGGGUGCUAACGUCCGUCGUGAAGAGGGAAACAACCCAGACCGCCAGCUAAGGUCCCAAAGUCAUGGUUAAGUGGGAAACGAUGUGGGAAGGCCCAGACAGCCAGGAUGUUGGCUUAGAAGCAGCCAUCAUUUAAAGAAAGCGUAAUAGCUCACUGGUCGAGUCGGCCUGCGCGGAAGAUGUAACGGGGCUAAACCAUGCACCGAAGCUGCGGCAGCGACACUAUGUGUUGUUGGGUAGGGGAGCGUUCUGUAAGCCUGUGAAGGUGUACUGUGAGGUAUGCUGGAGGUAUCAGAAGUGCGAAUGCUGACAUAAGUAACGAUAAAGCGGGUGAAAAGCCCGCUCGCCGGAAGACCAAGGGUUCCUGUCCAACGUUAAUCGGGGCAGGGUGAGUCGACCCCUAAGGCGAGGCCGAAAGGCGUAGUCGAUGGGAAACAGGUUAAUAUUCCUGUACUUGGUGUUACUGCGAAGGGGGGACGGAGAAGGCUAUGUUGGCCGGGCGACGGUUGUCCCGGUUUAAGCGUGUAGGCUGGUUUUCCAGGCAAAUCCGGAAAAUCAAGGCUGAGGCGUGAUGACGAGGCACUACGGUGCUGAAGCAACAAAUGCCCUGCUUCCAGGAAAAGCCUCUAAGCAUCAGGUAACAUCAAAUCGUACCCCAAACCGACACAGGUGGUCAGGUAGAGAAUACCAAGGCGCUUGAGAGAACUCGGGUGAAGGAACUAGGCAAAAUGGUGCCGUAACUUCGGGAGAAGGCACGCUGAUAUGUAGGUGAAGCGACUUGCUCGUGGA
rnacentral:rRNA from 1 species